ensembl:lncRNA novel transcript, sense intronic to HIF1A
CUUUUUUUUUUUUUUUUUUUUUUUGAGACAGUGUCUUGCUCUGUCUGGAGUGCAGUGGCACAAUCACAGCUCACUGCAGCCUUGAACUCCUGGGCUCAAAUAAUCCUCCUGCCUCAGCCUCCUGAGUAUCUGGAACUACAGGAGUGCACCAUUACACUCGGCUAGUAAUUUGAUUGGUUAAGAACAUUAACUAUAACUCACACAUUUUCCUGACCACAUUUGCUUAGGACAAAACAGUAAAAGACAUGAGUGUAGAUGAAAGCGAUAAGGGAACUAAUCUUAAACACUGAACCUCUUUUCAGCAAAUUGGCUUUCUAGUUUCUCAGCUCUCUCUUUACACCUCUAAAUCUCUUUCCUGGCAAGAUCAUUUAUUUGCCUUGGUUUAUGGUGAUACUCUUCAUUGUUAUACUGGUGGGUGAUUGUUUUAAUUGAUAGCUGUUUUUUUCUACUUCAGGAAGAUGACACUGCUGGCUCUGCUGGCUCUGAUGUUUACCUUGUGGCUAAUGCCUGUGUUUGCCUGUGUUCACAUUUAUUCCACGAUUCAUUUGUUAACAUUUACUAAGCUGCUUUUCUGUGCCAGGAACUUGGCUAGAUAAAUAAAUGGUUGUUUUUGUACACAGAAUUAGCUGUCAUAAUCAGUUACUGUAGCAUUUAUUCUUGCAAAAAUAUAUAUUUAUACUUCAACUAGUGAUCGAAUCUCAACUUAUUAAUUCAUACAUUCAGCCAGCACAUAAUUGAAUACUUCUUAUGUGUCAGAAACUGUUCUAGGUGCUUGGGAUGUUCAUUGAACAAAAUAGACAAAAGUCUCCGCCUCUAUGGAACUUACUUUCCAGUGAAGGUGUGGAUUGGUGGGAUAGAAAAUAAAAUAAUCAAGUAAGAUAUGUACUUAGGCUUUCAUAAAAAUACAGCAGGGCAAGAGGACCAAGAUGGAGGCAGUGAUCAGGGAAUCUCAAUGAGGGUGAGACUGCGACAAAGACUUGAAAAAGGUGGAGAAGCAAGCCUUGUGGGUAUUUAGGGUAGCAGUAGUCCAGGCAAGGGGAACAACUAGUGCAAAGGCUCUAGGAGGCAAUGUGUUUGAAGUGUUUUAAGAACAGUAAGGAGGCUAGUAUGGUUAGAACAGAAUGAGCAAAGGGGGCAAAGUGGUAGAAGGUGAGAUCAAAGAGGUAAUGAGGCCAUUGUGGAGGCCCAUAUGGACUAUUGGAAGGGCUUUGGCUUUUACUCUAAAUGAGGCAAAAACCAUUUUAAGCAGAGAGGAGUGAUAUGACUUGAUUUCUUGUUAAAAGGAUUAUUCUAGUUGCUGUUACAGAAAAAGAUUACAGGGGUGCAAAGAAACAGGGAGACAAAAGAAUAUAAGAUUUUCACUGUAACUUAUAUCUAGUAUGCUUGCUUAUACUUGAAAAUGCAUAUCCAGAUAAUUGUAGUAAAUUCAAAUAUUAUGUUUAUUUAAUAGUACUAACAUUGAUAUGCUGGUUAAUUAUGAUUAGGAGCACUAAUAAAGCACAAAUCAGGGAUUCCCAAAAAGAAUGUUGAAAGGGCAGUCAGCUUUUCCUGUGCCAGAAAUCAAAGUCAUAGCAGAUUUGGGGCAAAUAUGUCAAAGUCAAACUUACGCACAUCACUACUGAGAAGACAAAGAUGAAUGUGUGACAGUUUCCUGCCCCCAAGAAUCUUUAAGCAUUGUGAAGGAAGAUUAAUAUAGCCAAAUAACUAGAGUGAUCAGUUCUACCAGAGAGGACCAGUUUUGGAAGCCAGAGGAAAAAAAAAAAAAA